rnacentral:tRNA from 1 species
GCGUCUGUAGCCUAGUUGGUAAAGGCAGCACUUUAGUAUGUGUCUCAGAAUAGCUGAGGUCGUGAGUUUGGCUCUCACCAGACACA